GAGAGACAACAUGUUCGGGAGGGCUCGAGAUGGAUGGAGAAUAGGUAAUAAUAAGAGGUAGGGGUGUCCUUCUGGAUCUUUUGUCCCUCUAAGUCAUCCGAAGGGACUAGAGGACUAAUCCCCUUAGUCCUUCAUUUAGUCCUUCUGUUUGGAAGUUUCAGGACUAAAAGAGGCUAAAAGGGAAGAACUAAAUUUUAGUCCUAUGGCAUCAAAGUAAAAGGGAAGAACUAAAUUUUAGUCCUGUGGAACCAAACAGAACCUUAGAAGAAAGAGAUCGUUGCUGAUAUGGUGGGGAAGCAAGAGGCAGCUGUCCCAGCACCGGGCCUGUUUGGAAUCCUUGCUCAAGCUAGCCUUGCCUAGCCGAGCUUGCCUGGCUUUGUCGAGCAAGGCAAGUCAAGAUUUGUUGAUCUGAUUGGUUGCCUUGCUUAUCCCUAAGUCUCAGCCCUCCGCUUUUAUCCAAAACUAAUGGGCUCUUGGUGUCAUGCAGAGAGAGAUAGGGAUCGACGGCACAUUACAGCCAUGGCUGCUGGUGACGGCAAGGAACUCGAAUCCAACAACCAGAAACUCAAUCCGGGUGAAGACGACCUCAAUGUUGGCAGUAGGUAUUCGAUUUGGUCGGCCGCUAGUGCUGAGCUUGCCUAUACCUGCACAACAGCAGCGGGGACUUGCUUUGCUGGUCUGCACUCUGCAAUGUCAAGCUUGCAAAUCCGCCGUGGAAGAGCUUCAAACUGGCACCAGGGGCUGCUUUUGGUGGUCCACUAGCGCCGAGCUCGCCAUUUCUGCGCAUGGGGAGGGAGGAGCUAGGGUUGGAUGAGGAGGAGGUCGCACUGUCGCGGUCAUGCAGCUACCAGCUUGGAUAGAACGGAGCAGCACCAGCGAGCAAUGCUUGCUCGUGUAGGAGAGCUGAUUUGGCUCACCUGCACGGGCGAGAUUUUCCUUGUCGCGUUGAGCGAGCUUGCCUGCUGGCAAAGCAAGCUUUUGGCUCGAUGCCAAACGCCUGUCCUUGCUCAGGAAGGUGAAACAGUGCCCAGCAAAUGAACCAAAGGGACCCUUGCAGGAUGUCUUAGCGCCAACUGGGCGGCACUCGGGUUCCACGCGCACCAGCAGCCCAAGGCAAGCUGUGAUGUGGCCAGCAGUGGAUCAUCAGAUGCCUGAGACCACAAAAAGGACACUCAGAAAGGUACCAUAUGUUGCACUUGUAAAAUGGCCAGUAGACGUGUGCAGAACAGAAAACAACUUACUUAAUGCACGAUGUCUAAUAGUGCUCACUGGGCUUGAAUUGCGUGGUCCAUGUAUAGGCCCUCUCGAUUAUUGGACAAGUGGAUCCCGAGCUGCUUCUUGUGACGCGUCCCAUAUCAGGGGCUGAUUGGUUUGCUGUACUCAGCUUGGCCAGGCUUGCUCGGGUGCUAGAUUGUCUUGAUUGGUUACCUGAAUCGGGAGUUGGAUCUGAC
rnacentral:lncRNA from 1 species